GGGGCAUUGGCUCAAUUGGAUAGAGCACCGGUCUCCAAAACCGGGGGUUCCAGGUUCGAGUCCUGGAUGCCCCG
rnacentral:tRNA from 1 species